rnacentral:misc_RNA from 1 species
GAUGAAGAACGUAGCGAAAUGCGAUAAGUAACGUGAAUUGCAGAAUUCAGUGAAUCAUCGAAUCUUUGAACGCACCUUGCGCCCUUUGGACAUUCCGAAGGGCAUGCCUGUUUGAGUAUCAUGAACACCUCAACUCUCACGGCUUGUCCGUGAUGAGCUUGGACUUUGGGGGUCUUGCCGGCCUGUGGUCGGCUCCUCUCAAAUGGAUCAGCUUGCCAGUGUUUGGUGGCAUCACAGGUGUGAUAACUAUCUGCGCUUGUGGUUUUCCAUCAGAUAACCUUCAGUGAUAUGGAGGUUCGCUGGAGCUCACAAAUGUCUCUCCUUAGUGAGGACAGCUCUUUGAACGUUUGAUCUCAAAUCAGGUAGGACUACCCGCUGAACUUAAGCAUAUCAAUAAGCGGAGGA